CGUCUAAAUAAUUUUGUUCAUAAAAAUCAUUUGGCCAAUAUGUUUCCCUGUUCUAGCUCGAUGUUGAGAGUUCUGUUUCCUGUCCUGGCGGGGACUGCUUUGUCCAGCACCAGACUCUUGACUCUUCAGAGAAUCACCAUGUUGCCCAUCCCCCAGGUGGAAGACCACAGCUCACCCUUUUAUUACAAGAGGGUAUAACUCAG
rnacentral:lncRNA from 1 species